GGCUGGUCCGAAGGUAGUGAGUUAUCUCACUUGAUUAUUCACAGUCAGUUACUCCUUGUUCUACUACUUUCCCUCCUCCUCACUACUGCACUUGGCUAGUCUUAA
rnacentral:Y_RNA from 1 species